CCACACACAAAACAAAUAAACAAGCGCAUACACAGACAUAUACACGGAGAGAAGAGAAGAGAGAGUGCUGCGAGCCAGGGACGACGCGAGGAAGGAGAGGAGCCAUCGUGCUCGGCCGCUGCUAGCUCCAUCGCAUCCUACGCCGCGCCAUCGCCCCCAGACCGCGUCCGUUCCGUUCAGCCACCGCCGCUGCCGUCGUGUGGGUGAGAGAGAGAAGCUGAGAAAGACUCAGCCGCGAGAACCAGAGGCGCGUGAGAGAGGGAAGACACGAUCGACGAAGGGAAGGGAAAAGGGUUUCACCACCGCGGUGUCCGGCCACCACUGCUGCCUCCGACUGGAGCCCUAGUCACCGGAGCCCCUAUCGUCGCCGUUGCAUGUGAGAGGAGGAGAUGACAUUGCUGAUUUGGAUUCUGCCCAUGUCCCUCAUCGUCACUGGAAUCACGAACCAGAGGCGGAAGGAGGCAUUCCUCCAUCGCCCGCCAGCCACCAAGCUAUGACUAAAUUGGAGACAUUGUUUCUCUUACCUUCCGUUUUGAGUCAUUAUUGUCAUUAUUCGGCGUUGCCACCCUUGUCUAGAGCUAUUGAAUGUUUCUGCUGCGAGAAUAAUACUAGAAUCGCUGCUGCUGCCACGAAUUGGGGAUAAAGGGGAUACCUGCGUCAAAACCUGCUAUUGCGACAUUGAGUGACACAGGUUCCAGGACCGAGUGUGAAGCUGCGAGCGAUUAUGAGUUUCUUUUGAAUUCUUUUGUAUAAUAUUUAUCAUUAUUAGUAAUUAAGUGAUUAUUAUUACCUGUGUGUUUUUUAUGAAUGAUUUUGAUUAAUGAGAAACAAUAUUUUCCUGCAUUUUCUUAAAAAUUGAAACGCGGUAUCGAAUUAAAGGCUCAAUAUUAAAUAGUAAGUAUGAAAAACAGGUCAGUAACGCCUUGCUUUUGGUACGAUCAUGACGUGCUAAAAGUUAGGGUGUUACACAUAUUCAUGCUAUUUAUUGUUUGAGAAAAUGACAAUUUUUUUCUUCUGUCUAAAUAAAACUAUUUUCUCUUUUAUUUAUAAAAUAUAUGUUUACUUUUUUUUUUACACCAAAAA